rnacentral:rRNA from 1 species
CCUUCGGGUUCAGUGGCGGACGGGUGAGUAACACGUGGGAACGUACCUUUAGGUUCGGAACAACUCAGGGAAACUUGAGCUAAUGCCGAAUGUGCCCUUCGGGGGAAAGAUUUAUCGCCUUUAGAGCGGCCCGCGUCUGAUUAGCUUGUUGGUGAGGUAAAGGCUCACCAAGGCUACGAUCAGUAGCUGGUCUGAGAGGAUGAUCAGCCACACUGGGACUGAGACACGGCCCAGACUCCUACGGGAGGCAGCAGUGGGGAAUCUUGCGCAAUGGGCGAAAGCCUGACGCAGCCAUGCCGCGUGAAUGAUGAAGGUCUUAGGA